GCGCAGCAGGCGCGAAUUUUUCUCAAUGGGCGAAAGCCUGAAGGAGCGACGCCGCGUGGGGGAUGAAUGGCUUCGGCCCGUAAACCCCUGUCAUUUGUGAACAAAUUGCUUCACCUAAUACGUGAAGCAUUGAUUGUAACGGAAGAGGAAGGGACGGCUAACUCUGUGCCAGCAGCCGCGGUAAUACAGAGGUCCCAAGCGUUGUUCGGAUUCACUGGGCGUAAAGGGUGCGUAGGCGGUUUGACAAGUCUGAUGUGAAAUCCCGCAGCUUAACUGCGGAACUGCAUUGGAAACUGUUUGACUAGAGGGAUGGAGGGGAGACUGGAAUACUUGGUGUAGCAGUGAAAUGCGUAGAUAUCAAGUGGAACACCAGUGGCGAAGGCGAGUCCCUGGACAUUUCCUGACGCUGAGGCACGAAAGCCAGGGGAGCAAGCGGGAUUAGAUACCCCCGUAGU
rnacentral:rRNA from 1 species